rnacentral:rRNA from 1 species
UGCAGUCGAGAAUCUUUCGCAAUGGGCGAAAGCCUGACGAAGCGACGCCGUGUGAGUGAUGAAGGCCUUCGGGUUGUAAAGCUCUUUCGCUUGGGAACAAGGGAAGCUGGCUAAUAUCCAGUUGACUUGAGGGUACCAGGUAAAGAAGCACCGGCUAACUCCC